GCCCGGUUAGCUCAGUUGGUAGAACAUCAGACUUUUAAUAUGACGGCCAUGUGGUCGAGUCCCAUAUCGAGCU
rnacentral:tRNA from 1 species